UGUGAUAAGCUGCCCCUAGGAUGGACCCUAACAUAAAAGAGACAGCUAUGCCAAUGUAAGAAGCCAUUUGGAAUAAGACUUCCGUUUUGAGUAGGGGUCUAACUUUCCAGGACCUCCCUGGGAAUUAACAUUCUACUUGGAAGGAAGAGACGUGUACGUGGGUGACUGGUGUCCUGAUUGGCAAGUUAAGACAUGAAUAUAAGGGUCUUCAUUUCCUUCCAACUCCGGCGAUCCUGAAAGCAAAGCGCGAACCAUCCACGGACCGACGAGAUGAGCGACAGCCCUUGCCUGAGUCCUCCAGCACCAAGCCAGGGUCCUACUACCCCACGCAAAGGGCCCCCCAAGUUCAAGCAGAGGCAGACGCGACAGUUCAAGAGCAAGCCUCCCAAGAAAGGGGUGAAAGGGUUUGGAGAUGACAUCCCAGGCAUGGAGGGGCUAGGAACAGAUAUCACGGUGAUCUGCCCCUGGGAAGCAUUCAGCCACCUGGAACUGCACGAGCUGGCUCAGUUCGGGAUCAUCUGAGGACUCGAGGCUUGGCUGCUCUCGGGAGCAUCUGCUGCUCUUGAGUGCCUUGAUUUUGCCCAGUUGGUCUCUCGGAGUCUUGAAAUCCAGUAUUCAGGAGGAAUUUCCUUGCAUUCCCAUGAGUUUCCGUCGUGUUCUUUCCUUCGACGGUGAAUAAAGCGGCACUUUUGUUGGGGGGGGGGGUCCCUCAGCUUCACACCUUUUCUUAUCUGCUGUUUUAAAGUCGUCCACAUUUCUUCAUGUUCUGUUUAAACGGGCACUCAUUACGUUAGUAGCAGAAUCAGCAUUAAUAUAUUAGAAAGGCUUUGGUACGAGGAUUGCUAUAGAUCAGCGAGGUCUACCUAGAGAGUUCCAGACUAGCUGGAUGUGAGACCAUCCCUUAACUAAAAACAAAACAUAAUGGCAAUGUAAUAUGUCCGUC
rnacentral:lncRNA from 1 species